GAAGGUUAUGUGCUAGUGAUAAGAUCAGUGUCUCAGUUACUAUUAUAUGUGAAUCACAUAGGAUAUAAGGUAUGAAUGACAGGUGUUAUCUGGCCUCGAUCUCAUUUUUCCAAACAGAAGUUAUUUUAUUAAUCAGGUCUAUAUCAUAGACACUUUUUAAAUUGCUGGUAAUACAAUUGGUAUAAAGAAAGAUUGUAAGUUGUAAAUAUCCGACCAUCUAACAAGAUUCACCUAAACUCAUUUUCAUGGAUUCAUGCGUGAGUCAAGGUAUUCUUUAUUAGCAAAAAAAUAAGAGUAUAUGUUAAGAUUUAUAUUCAGACAAC
rnacentral:lncRNA from 1 species